UUAUGGCUCAGGAUGAACGCUAGCUACAGGCUUAACACAUGCAAGUCGUGGGGCAGCAUAUAGAUAGCUUGCUAUUUAUGAUGGCGACCGGCGCACGGGUGAGUAACGCGUAUCCAACCUUCCCCAUAGUAGGGUAUAGCCCGGCGAAAGUCGGAUUAAUCCCCUAUGUUGUUUGAAGCGGACAUCUAAUUCAAACCAAAGAUUCAUCGCUAUGGGAUGGGGAUGCGUCUGAUUAGGUUGCAGGCGGGUAACGGCCCACCUGGCCGACGAUCAGUAGGGGUUCUGAGAGGAAGGUCCCCCACACUGGUACUGAGACACGGACCAGACUCCUACGGGAGGCAGCAGUGAGGAAUAUUGGUCAAUGGGCGCGAGCCUGAACCAGCCAAGUAGCGUGCAGGAUGACGGCCCUACGGGUUGUAAACUGCUUUUAUGCGGGGAUAAAGUGCGGCACGUGUGCCGUUUUGCAGGUACCGCAUGAAUAAGGACCGGCUAAUUCCGUGCCAGCCGCCGC
rnacentral:rRNA from 1 species